CUCCGGUUGAUCCUGCCGGACCCGACUGCUAUCAGAGUGGGACUAAGCCAUGCGAGUCAACAUAGCAAUAUGUGGCAUACGGCUCAGUAACACGUAGUCAACAUGCCCAGGGGACGUGGAUAACCUCGGGAAACUGAGGAUAAACCGCGAUAGGUCAUCACUUCUGGAAUGGGUAAUGACUUAAAUCUAUAUGGCCCCUGGAUUGGACUGCGGCCGAUCAGGCUGUUGGUGAGGUAAUGGCCCACCAAACCUGUAACCGGUACGGGCUCUGAGAGGAGGAGCCCGGAGAUGGGCACUGAGACAAGGGCCCAGGCCCUAUGGGGCGCAGCAGGCGCGAAACCUCUGCAAUAGGCGAAAGCUUGACAGGGUUACUCUGAGUGAUUUCCGUUAAGGAGAUCUUUUGGCACCUCUAAAAAUGGUGCAGAAUAAGGGGUGGGCAAGUCUGGUGUCAGCCGCCGCGGUAAUACCAGCACCUCGAGUGGUCAGGACGUUUAUUGGGCCUAAAGCAUCCGUAGCCGGCUUUGCAAGUCUUCGGUUAAAUCCACCUGCUCAACAGAUGGGCCGCUGGAGAUACUACAGAGCUAGGGAGUGGGAGAGGCAGACGGUAUUCAGUGGGUAGGGGUAAAAUCCUCUGAUCCAUUGAGGACCACCAGUGGCGAAGGCGGUCUGCCAGAACACGUUCGACGGUGAGGGAUGAAAGCUGGGGGAGCAAACCGGAUUAGAUACCCGGGUAGUCCCAGCUGUAAACGAUGCAAACUCGGUGAUGCAUUGGCUUAUGGCCAAUGCAGUGCCGCAGGGAAGCCGUUAAGUUUGCCGCCUGGGAAGUACGGACGCAAGUCUGAAACUUAAAGGGAUUGGCGGGGGGAGCA
rnacentral:rRNA from 1 species